rnacentral:rRNA from 11 species
GACAACAUGAAUAUACCAUGAUAGGGCCUAGAUCCCAUCUGUUCUUGAAGACUAAGCAGGGUCAGUCUUGGGUAGUACUUGAAAUGGAGACUACCAACAAAUACUAGAUGCUGUUGGCU